UCCACGUCGCCUUUGUGCCCACAGGCUAUGGCAUUCCAACACAGCCCGCCACUCUGGGCCCUCCAUCCCUGCAUCUAUCUGUAAACCAAUGUGUUUCUCCAAGAAGUGGGCUGCAACCUUGUGUUCAGGCAGCCUCGGACUGUGCCACAGACUUUAAAGGAAGAUGUCAGAUGUUGCUGGACUAGCCCUACAUGCUUCACACACACAUCAUUUGCAAAUAGACUACAGAUCACGGGGUUUCGGGGACACAAUGUCACCAGGGAGCAGACAUAAAGGACUACUUCCAGGCUGCAGGGUAAGAUUUUUAUGACUAGAAAAAUAGAGAAAAACCAUUCACUCUGGACAGAACUGGGUUUACUUUCUUGGACACCGUUUAAAGACAUGAAAACAAACACGUGAAACCAGGCAGAACAGUGGGUGGGAACCUUCCGUGGCUUUUUGCAGUUUAUUGUGACAGAUGGCACAGUCUGGAGUGACUGUUGGCCCUGCUUGUAUCCGAGUGUAAGUGGUUUGUCUUCCGAGGUGGCUCUUCUUGGUUGUCAGUCUGACUACAUCUGGAACUAACGAAAAUCCAAGAGGCGGGUACACCUGUGAAGAUUUUUCUUUUUUUCUUAAUUAAGUUAGUUGAAGGGGUAAGACCCACUUUUAAUCCAGAUCUUCUGAGGUGGGAAGACCCACCUUUGAUCUGAGCUACAUUCUGCUGACAGCCUGUUAGUUUGAAUGAAAUGGCCCCACAGGCUCACAGGAACUGGAGGUGUGGCCUUGUUGGAAGAAGUAUGUCACUGGGGGUGGGCUUUGAGGUCUGAACUGCUCAAGCCAGGCCCAGGAUAACAGUCUCUUCCUGAUGCCUGCUGAUCCAGAUGUAGACUUAUGAGCUUUUUUUCUAGCACUAUGUCUACCUGAAUGCCUCCAUGUUUCCUGCCAUGAUGAUAAUGGACUAAACCUCUGAAACUGUAAGCCAGCUUCACUGAAAUAUUUUCAUGGUGGUCAUAGUGUCUCUUCACAACAAUAGAAACCCUAGGACACAUCUGUAGAGAAGACACCCAUCCUGCUGCCUGUCUUGAGGUACAGGUGUGUAUCAGUGGAAGCCAGUAUGAUGUGAUGGAGAGAUGGGAGAGGAAGAGAAGUAGGAUGGUUUGAGCACUGUGAAGAGAAGUAGAACCAGAAACAAGAAAGUGGAGAGAAAUAGCCUGAUAAGUACUUAUGAUUUCCUCAAUCUGGAGAUACACUUGCCAUUAAUAACCCCUUCUCCGAGACCCUCUCAGAUAAAUUCAGCCUGACAUUCCUCUAAUAUGCAGGGCAGAGGAGGGCUCUGAGGACAAGAAGUAAUCCCUGCAUGAAUUAUAUCAAGCCAGCAUGUGAGAAAACAUCCACCCCACAAUUUAUGAAUUUUGAAUGCUACCAGGACCUGCUUUGGUAUGCUGAAGAUAGAGAGAACCUGUGCUCAAUUCCCAGCAUCCACAUGGCAGCUCACAACCAUCUGUUACUCCAGCCCCAGGAGAUCCAGCACCUUCUUCUGACCUCAGUAGACAUCAAGCAUACACAUGGUGCACAGACAUACAUUCAAGCAAAACACUCAUAUGCAUAAAAACAAAAUAAAUAAAUCUAAAAAGCAUUUGCUAUAUAAUUAUUUUGAUCAAAUCUUUGUAAACUUCAUACAUGCAUACAAUGUAUUUCGAUCAUGUUUACCCCUAAGUCUCCUAGAUCCACCCUCCAGAUCUCCCGAUGUUGAGGUCUGCUCUUUGUGGCAGUUGACACAUUUGCAGCCAUUUUUGUACUCAGCUUCCAUUUUGUUUACAAGGUGAAAUGAAGUUCAAACUUUUUAACUUACUUCUUAGAAGUAGUUAUCCAUAGCUGACACUAACAGACCCUGCCAGAGGGUCAAGUUAACCUUAUAUUUUACUAUGACUCGAUGGUGUCAUAAUUCAUGCUCUGUUAUCUCCACACUUGGCUACUCUCUGGUCCCACUCUUUGUUAUCUCUGCACUUGUCUGUACUCUGGAAGACCCUAACCACCACCUCACUUACCUCACUUGGGACCAAUCAGCUCAAAGGUUAGCUGAUAAUACUUUGCUUAGUUGGCCAAAAUGUGUUACAAUGUAUUACUGCACCCUCCCCCAUCUUCUAUGCUUGGUUUCCCUAUAAAAAGACUGCUCUAAGAACAGGUCAAUGUCACAGUUUGGCCGAGUCC